CCCUUAGAUGUUCUGGGCCGCACGCGUGCUACACUGAGUGGAUCAGCGGGUCAGGUUGCGCGAAAGUGUUUCCUAAUCUUUAAAUCCGCUCGUGAUGGGGAUUGACGGUUGCAAUUUUCCGUCAUGAACGAGGAAUACCUUGUAAGCGCGGGUCAUCAUCCCGCGCUGAAUACGUCCCUGCCCUUUGUACACACCGCCCGUCGCUCCUACCGAUUGAAUGAUCCGAUGAAUAUCAUGGAUUGAGGAUGCAAGUAGGUUAGCCUAUCUUCAUCUUCGAGAAGUGAAGUAAAUCUUAUCAUUUAGAGGAAGGAGAAGUCGUAACA
rnacentral:rRNA from 1 species